rnacentral:rRNA from 1 species
CUUAAGUGGGGAAUAACGCAUCGAAAGGUGUGCUAAUACCGCAUAAUCUCUGAGGAGAAAAGCAGGGGAUCGCAAGACCUUGCGCUUUUGGAGCGGCCGAUGUCUGAUUAGCUUGUUGGUGAGGUAAAGGCUUACCAAGGCUUCGAUCAGUAGCUGGUCUGAGAGGACGGCCAGCCACACUGGGACUGAGACACGGCCCAGACUCCUACGGGAGGCAGCAGUGGGGAAUUUUGGACAAUGGGGGCAACCCUGAUCCAGCCAUGCCGCGUGAGUGAAGAAGGCCUUCGGGUUGUAAAGCUCUUUCAGCCGGAACGAAACGGUUACGGUUAAUACCCGUAACUACUGACGGUACCGGAAGAAGAAGCACCGGCUAACUACGUGCCAGCAGCCGCGGUAAUACGUAGGGUGCGAGCGUUAAUCGGAAUUACUGGGCGUAAAGCGUGCGCAGGUGGUUUUGUAAGUCAGAUGUGAAAUCCCCGGGCUUAACCUGGGAACUGCGUUUGAAACUACAAGGCUAGAGUGCGGCAGAGGGGGGUGGAAUUCCGCGUGUAGCAGUGAAAUGCGUAGAGAUGUGGAGGAACACCGAUGGCGAAGGCAGCCCCCUGGGUCAACACUGACGCUCAGGCACGAAAGCAUGGGGAGCAAACAGGAUUAGAUACCCUGGUAGUCCAUGCCCUAAACGAUGUCAACUAGUUGUCGGGUCUUAACGGGCUUGGUAACGUAGCUAACGCGUGAAGUUGACCACCUGGGGAGUACGAUCGCAAGAUUAAAACUCAAAGGAAUUGACGGGGACCCGCACAAGCGGUGGAUUAUGUGGAUUAAUUCGAUGCAACGCGAAAAACCUUACCUACCCUUGACAUGUAUUGGAGCCCGCAGAGAUGUGGGUGUGCCCGAAAGGGAACGAUAACACAGGUGCUGCAUGGCUGUCGUCAGCUCGUGUCGUGAGAUGUUGGGUUAAGUCCCGCAACGAGCGCAACCCUUGUCAUUAAUUGCCAUCAUUUAGUGGGGCACUUUAAUGAGACUGCCGGUGACAAACCGGAGGAAGGUGGGGAUGACGUCAAGUCCUCAUGGCCCUUAUGGGUAGGGCUUCACACGUAA